rnacentral:rRNA from 1 species
AGCGAACGCUGGCGGCAGGCUUAACACAUGCAAGUCGAACGGGCAUAGCAAUAUGUCAGUGGCAGACGGGUGAGUAACGCGUGGGAACGUACCUUUUGGUUCGGAACAACACAGGGAAACUUGUGCUAAUACCGGAUAAGCCCUUACGCGGAAAGAUUUAUCGCCGAAAGAUCGGCCCGCGUCUGAUUAGCUAGUUGGUAGGGUAAUGGCCUACCAAGGCGACGAUCAGUAGCUGGUCUGAGAGGAUGAUCAGCCACAUUGGGACUGAGACACGGCCCAAACUCCUACGGGAGGCAGCAGUGGGGAAUAUUGGACAAUGGGCGAAAGCCUGAUCCAGCCAUGCCGCGUGAGUGAUGAAGGCCCUAGGGUUGUAAAGCUCUUUUGUGCGGGAAGAUAAUGACGGUACCGCAAGAAUAAGCCCCGGCUAACUUCGUG